UACGUAGGGUGCGAGCGUUAAUCGGAAUUACUGGGCGUAAAGCGUGCGCAGGCGGUGAUGUAAGACCGAUGUGAAAUCCCCGGGCUUAACCUGGGAACUGCAUUCGAGACUGCAUAGCUAGAGUAUGGGAGAGGGAAGUGGAAUUUCAGGUGUAGCGGUGAAAUGCGUAGAUAUCUGAAGGAACAUCAGUGGCGAAAGCGACUUCCUGGACCAAUACUGACGCUCAUGUGCGAAAGCGUGGGGAGCAAACAGG
rnacentral:rRNA from 1 species